UCCGUAGGUGAACCUGCGGAAGGAUCAUUACCGAGUGCGGGUCUGCCCUCCGGGGCGCCCAACCUCCCCCCCGUGAAUACGUGACCCUGUUGCUUCGGCGGGGUGUCCUCCCCUUCCCGGGGGGGCCGCCGCCGGGGACCAUUUAAACCCGAACCGAGUAUGUUGCAGUCUGAGCUCGAGUGAGAAAUCAGUCAAAACUUUCAACAAUGGAUCUCUUGGUUCCGGCAUCGAUGAAGAACGCAGCGAACUGCGAUAAGUAAUGUGAAUUGCAGAAUUCAGUGAAUCAUCGAGUCUUUGAACGCACAUUGCGCCCCCUGGCACUCCGGGGGGCAUGCCUGUCCGAGCGUCAUUGCUGCCAUUCAAGCCCGGCUUGUGUGUUGGGCCGUCGUCCCCCUCCCGGGGGGACGGGCCCGAAAGGCAGCGGCGGCACCGUGUCCGGUCCUCGAGCGUAUGGGGCAUCGUCACCCGCUCGAUCAGGACCGGCCCGGCGCCCGCCGGCGUCCCCAACCAUUCUUCAGGUUGACCUCGGAUCAGGUAGGGAUACCCGCUGAACUUAAGCAUAUCAAUAAGCGGAGGA
rnacentral:rRNA from 1 species